ensembl:lncRNA
AAAUCACACCCCUCCUUCGCCUUCUGAACACACAGGCCUGAAUAUGCGUUGAUACUCCAGUCCCUCUUUACAGAUCGUACUUUAAACAGCCGUGAUCUGCGAAUAAACACAGCCAGUAAACAAUGGAGUGGAGGCCGUGCCCACGUAUAGGCAAAGUACACACGCACCACCAAAUUGCAGAAGUGUAAACUCAGGACCUCACAGCUCUGUCAAUUUACACAGACAUUCAAUUCAUUCUAUUAAUUUUAGACAUAUAAUGUCAACAGUGACAGAGUUUGAGCUCAAAUAAAUGCCGUGAUGUCUGGAGCCCUUUGCAGAAGGCAGACGGCAGGGGCUCUCCGAUGGGCUUCCGUGGCUUGCCAACAACAAGCAUCGACUGUUUUUGCACAGAUGUGCGGGGCUUUGAUUCGAUGGAAACUUUUCAAUGGCGGCCCACCGUCUACUUUCAACACACUACUCGGACCUUAAAAGGCACUUUCCUGUUUGACGUACCUGGCUGCAAUAUGAAAUAUCAAAGCCUCUGUCAGUGUGGAGCUGAAUGGGAACAAAAGAGAGGCCUCCAUUAAUGAUUAACUGUUCUAAAAGCCCCGGCUUUUGUAUUCCCAUGGUGCCCGGGCUAUCUUGCCGCCAUGUGACAUGCUCACAGCAUUUUUCGAGCAGAUUGGGGGAAAGCUAGUGAGCAAACACAGGUGCUUUGGAGCGGCGUUGGCGAUGCUGUCAGGGACAACCACAAACAAGAGCAGCUAUGCCUGGCUAAAUGAACCCCCGCCACACCCCCUUCCCCCCCCCCGCCCCGCCACCACCAGCCACACACCCGACCCCCGAACGCUGCAGUGCUAGCUAACUUGUUUGCUAGCUGCCUAGCUCUCGCAUAAAGCCAAAGCCUCCCUUCUGGAGAGUCUGCCCCCUCCCCUCCUCAAACCCCGCCCCCCAGACACAGUCCAAUGUUCACUACAGCUGAGCUCCACAACUUCUCACACCCUCCAAAGAAACAAACAAAUAAACGUGAGGACUGCAGAGCACUUCUUUGAGGCGAUGGCGUUUGCUGUGAUCACGAUUAGUGGGAGAGCAAACACAUUAACGAUGUUCCGGUUUACACUUUCCAAAGCAAAAUAAAAUGUCUUUCACUUCAAGUGGGGCCAUUCUAGUGACCCCCCCAGUGACAAAUAAAGCAUAUAUGGGCUGGAUGAUCUCUGCUUAAGAAUUGGAAGCUAAUAAAACACAUUUUGUGAUGGGUACCCCAUCGGUACCUCUUAGCAUACAAAAUACUCUCAUAAAUAUCUGGAGUUUUUGUUUUUGUCCAUGUUUCUUUUGUUGGAGUUAAUGGCAAGGACAUGUGUAACUAAAGUCAACCAUCGCUUCCUACUGCCUGGCUGGCAUAAAAGCGACUAGGGGGGUGCUGCAUGUCGCACAACUUACGAUAAGACCAUCCAGAUGAUAGCCAUGCGUUAUCUUUACAUGGCUUUCCGGCCGGGAGACAAAUGAACAAAGUGUGAUAACAGGAACAAAAGCUCAGCUCUUAUUGGCUGUGGGCUUAAUAGAAAAAAAUUGUUUCAUGGAAAAACCACAAAAGGUGCAGUUCAUUUAUUUUUUAAUUUUCUCCAUUGCCAAGGUCUCACGGUUUAUCGCUUCCAAUAUUUAUAUUGACUUUGGUGGGAAAUAUGCUUUUGUGGGAUGCAAUUACCCGGACCUAUAAAGCAGUUCUUACAAGUGGAAAGACGAUAAAACGUGUUUCAGGAAAACACUUCAAAUUAACCAGAGGGGGAAAUGAAUUCAUAAAGGAGAGGCAGAAAAGAGGGCAGAGAAAGCUAGAUGGGAGCCCAGCAAGACAGAGAGACAGACAUACAGACGGACAGCACAAAAGGGGGGGGACAAGAGACGGAGAGAAAGGAGAGGGAGAGAGAAAGAGAGAGAGAGAAAGGGAGAGAGAGGUCAAAAGUGGUUACCUCAGAGACGGGCUGAUGAUCAGUGAAGCACCACUUCUCUCUGGCUGGGCUUUUCCAGCCCAAUUCUCCGUCUCUCAGAGGUUUGUGUAUACUCAGGGAAUCACUCACGGCCCGUGUUUGCUCCAUUUCCCCAAAAAUAAUUGGAAAAAAAUAUGGUUGCCUUGACAUGAAAUGUUCGGCCGAGAAAAGAAAAAAAGAAGCUGAUUAUCCCCGUUAUAAUUGUAAGAAUAAAGCAUUUACAUUUUUGAGCAACAGUGUCGUUUAUUGAAGUCAGAGAGAUGUGAUUAUAAGCUUUUGUUGACUGCACUAUAAUUAAACCAAAAGGAAAAAUCCCCCUUCACAUUUUUAGGUCAAGUUUUACCGCCUCAAACCUGAAGCCUGCCAUCUUUAUGGAUUCUGCAAAGGUGACUGAAAAUGGUGUGGAUCUAUUCAUCCAUUUCGGUCUCCCCCUCCGGUUUUCCUUAUUUCCUCUGGCCAACCGCAGGGAUUUACCCCGCGCCGGCCGUGAGCAGAGUCUGAUCAGAGGAGUUACAAAGCCUCACUUUUAGGGGUCUUACUGUAAUUCACCGGGCUGCUUUGUGAAGUGUGGGGGCCCGCAUCUCAAGAGGGAUUUGAGACAACAUCUUUGUUGCGUCCUCAUUGUCCCGCGCGCCAAAGUCGUCCAGCCCCCCCUUAUUGUGGAGCGGAGCAAAACUCGCCUCAGAACCCGGCUCAAUCAAAGAAAAGUUUUCCAUUAAUGAGGUAAGACAUGAAAGCUCAUUGAAGGCGGCCACAUGUUGAAAGGUCUUUUUGAUCUCACCGGGGCACAAUGGCCGAAUUUGAAAAGAGCAAAGUGUGCUCUGAGCGCCAAUGCGCCGCUUUAAACCUCUGGUCUUUU